rnacentral:rRNA from 1 species
AGAAUGAACCGGCGAGUUACGAUCCCGUGCGAGGUUAAGCUGAAGAGGCGGAGCCGCAGCGAAAGCGAGUCUGAAUAGGGCGUUUAGUACGUGGUCGUAGACCCGAAACCAGGUGAUCUACCCAUGUCCAGGGUGAAGUUCAGGUAACACUGAAUGGAGGCCCGAACCCACGCACGUUGAAAAGUGCGGGGAUGAGGUGUGGGUAGCGGAGAAAUUCCAAUCGAACCUGGAGAUAGCUGGUUCUCCCCGAAAUAGCUUUAGGGCUAGCCUUAAGUGUAAGAGUCUUGGAGGUAGAGCACUGAUUGGACUAGGGGUCCUCAUCGGAUUACCGAAUUCAGUCAAACUCCGAAUGCCAAUGACUUAUCCUUAGGAGUCAGACUGCGAGUGAUAAGAUCCGUAGUCAAAAGGGAAACAGCCCAGACCGCCAGCUAAGGUCCCAAAGUGUGUAUUAAGUGGAAAAGGAUGUGGAGUUGCUUAGACAACUAGGAUGUUGGCUUAGAAGCAGCCACCAUUUAAAGAGUGCGUAAUAGCUCACUAGUCGAGUGACUCUGCGCCGAAAAUGUACCGGGGCUAAAUACACCACCGAAGCUGCGGAUUGAUACCAAUGGUAUCAGUGGUAGGGGAGCGUUCUAAGGACAGUGAAGUCAGACCGGAAGGACUGGUGGAGUGCUUAGAAGUGAGAAUGCCGGUAUGAGUAGCGAAAGACGGGUGAGAAUCCCGUCCACCGAAUGCCUAAGGUUUCCUGAGGAAGGCUCGUCCGCUCAGGGUUAGUCAGGACCUAAGCCGAGGCCGACAGGCGUAGGCGAUGGACAACAGGUUGAUAUUCCUGUACCACCUCUUUAUCGUUUGAGCAAUGGAGGGACGCAGAAGGAUAGAAGAAGCGUGCGAUUGGUUGUGCACGUCCAAGCAGUUAGGCUGAUA